CCUACGGGAGGCAGCAGUGGGGAAUAUUGGGCAAUGGGCGCAAGCCUGACCCAGCAAAGCCGCGUGAAGGAAGACGGCUUUCGGGUUGCAAACUUCUUUUCUUAGGGACGAAGAACGUGACGGUCCCUCAGGACUAAGCCACGGCUAACUACGUGCCAGCAGCCGCGGUAAUAUGUAGGUGGCAAGCGUUAUCCGGAUUUAUUGGGUUUAAAGGGCGUGUAGGCGGGAAAGCAAGUCCAAUGUGAAAACUCAGGGCUCAACCCUGAGCCUGGAUUUGAAACUGUUUUUCUUGAGUGCGGGAGAGGUAAUCGGAAUGCCGUGUGUAGCGGUGAAAUGCGUAGAUAUACGGAGGAACACCAGUGGCGAAGGCGGCUUGCUGGACAGUAACUGACGCUGAGGCGCGAAAGCGUGGGGAUCAAACAGGAUUAGAUACCCGAGUAGUC
rnacentral:rRNA from 1 species